rnacentral:rRNA from 1 species
AGAGUUUGAUCCUGGCUCAGAUUGAACGCUGGCGGCAGGCCUAACACAUGCAAGUCGAGCGGAUGACGGGAGCUUGCUCCUUGAUUCAGCGGCGGACGGGUGAGUAAUGCCUAGGAAUCUGCCUGGUAGUGGGGGACAACGUUUCGAAAGGAACGCUAAUACCGCAUACGUCCUACGGGAGAAAGCAGGGGACCUUCGGGCCUUGCGCUAUCAGAUGAGCCUAGGUCGGAUUAGCUAGUAGGUGAGGUAAUGGCUCACCUAGGCGACGAUCCGUAACUGGUCUGAGAGGAUGAUCAGUCACACUGGAACUGAGACACGGUCCAGACUCCUACGGGAGGCAGCAGUGGGGAAUAUUGGACAAUGGGCGAAAGCCUGAUCCAGCCAUGCCGCGUGUGUGAAGAAGGUCUUCGGAUUGUAAAGCACUUUAAGUUGGGAGGAAGGGCAGUAAGCUAAUACCCUUGCUGUUUUGACGUUACCGACAGAAUAAGCACCGGCUAACUCUGUGCCAGCAGCCGCGGUAAUACAGAGGGUGCAAGCGUUAAUCGGAAUUACUGGGCGUAAAGCGCGCGUACGUGGUUCGUUAAGCUGGAUGUGAAAAGCCCCGGGCUCAANCUGGGAACUGCNUCCNAAACUGGCGANGCUAGAGUAUUGGUAA